ensembl:lncRNA
UUUUUUUUUUUUUUUUUUGCUUUUUAGGGCCACACCUGCGGCAUAUGGAAGUACGGAAGUUCCCUGGCUAGGGGUGGAAUUGGAGGUACAGCUCCUGGCCUACAUCACAGUUCACAGCAACGCCAGAUCCUCACCCCACUAAGCGAGGCCAGGGAUCAAACCCACAUCCUCAUGGAUACUGGUCAGUUUGUUGCCGCUGAGCCACAGCAAGAACUUCCCAUCGAGGACAUUCUUCGAGGAAAUUGCUGGGGUUUUGUUUUGUUUUCUGGGAGUGCUUGGCAAUGGAGGAUCGAGUCUGAUGUCAUUGCUGAUGUGUGCGAGGUCACCAGCGGUUUUACCCACAAUUGUUUUUGCACCACUGGUGCAGACCAAGAUAGUGAAAAAACUAAAUAAUGUCUUGGCAUUAUCAUGAAAACUCUGGACCUUGUGGACCCCUGAUAAGGGUCUCAGUGACCUUCCGGGAUCUGCAGACCCCAUUUUGGGAACCACUUUCAAACACCCUGGGGCUGUACCAUCAUUUAGUUAACCAGUUAAAGGACUGCUUUUUCUUGUUGUUACUGCUUUCCUCUCAGGCGGUUUCCCACUCUACGCUAAAGGCCUAACGACUGUCCUUGGAGACUUCGCAUUUGUGCACCUCUGACUGUUGAGGGCAAGUUCUUAGAAGUGGAACUGCUGGAUCAAAGAGGCACAGUUUAAAAGCUUUAACACAGGUAGCCAAAUGGCCCCCCAGAGAAGUCAGGACAGGGCAGGCAAGGGGCGGACCGAGCACUCCUGCAUUUCUCCAGCACCUCUUGGCCCCACCCUGCCCAUUCUCCAAUAUUUGACGAUAUGAGAGCCAAAUGGUAGGGGGUCCCCAUUUCCUGACCUUAUUUUUGGAAGGGCAGGGAGUGGGUCUCUAGGUAGCUCCUAAGCUUUUGAUCAACACACAUGAAGCUAAGAGGAGUGUGUGUGUGUAUGCGCAAGGGAGUGGAGGGAUCCCAAGAAAGAAGUCUACCUCCCCCACCAUCCUGUGCCCCCCAAGCAAAGACAUGUGCUCUCUUCCCCGGAACAGAUGCACCACCGUCUCUUCUGCUGGAAACUCCUCCUCAGUGGAUACUUCAGAGAUGAGGUCUCUCUCUUUGAUAUGUAAUUGGCAGCAAAAUCUGUCUUUGUUUUCAACAAUCCCCACCCCCUCCUGUCUCCAUUUAGCAGUUAAUGCCCUCCUCUAGAGGUACAGGGGACUACUUACCCUUAAUCGGGAAUAACAAAGGGACAAAGGAACACCAUCCUAGGGGGUGUAGGCGGGAAGGAGGAAGGGCUCUAUCACCUCUCUCCCAGCCCAGUGGCGUCUCUAGACUUAAAUGGGGGAGGUUUUCUUCCCCUGAGGUUAGAGCUGGAUUGAAAAUAGGUUUGAAGGAUUUGGGCUACCGAAAGAGCAGUGAUGCUCAAAGGGACCAUUCUGGGGUCCCUGAGAUACGUUAACAGGGUGAGUCAAAACUACUGCAUGCACAAUAACACUAAAGCUUGUAUUUGCCUUUUUCACUGUGUGACAUUUGCAUCAGGAUCCCGCUUUGCUGUAGCUGUGGUGUAAGCCAGUAGCUACAGCUCUAAUUCCACCCCUAGCCAAAAAACCCAAAAAGAAUUAAAAUUGUCUCUAAUGAAGUAGAUUUUAAUUUUUUUUUUUUUUUUGUCUUUUCUAGGGCCGCACCUGCGGCACAUGUAGGUUCCCAGGCUAGGGGUGACUGGAGCUGUAGUCGCCAGCCUACGCCAGAGCCACAGCAAUGCCAGAUCCAAGCCACGUCUGCAACCUACACCACAGCUCACGGCAAUGCCGGAUCCUUAACCUACUGAGCAAGGCCAAGGAUCAAACCCGCAACCUCAUGGUUCCUAGUCGGAUUCGUUAACCACUGAGCCACAAUGGGAACUCUGAGAUUUUAAAUUUUUUGAAAGCUUGUAUCUGCCAUAAUGAGCUUGAGAGUUAACAGGUUCCCAGCACUUUAAAAGCUUUUCUGAUGACAUUGGUGAUGAUAUUAACUAAUAUAAUUUUUGAUGUUAAUAAUAAAAAUAUGUCAAUAUCUGGAAAGAUCUUAAAUAUCUUAGUGAUAAACAAGAUAGUAUAACUUGGUGAACUAGGAUUUUCCAAAUUACUAAUGUAUGAUGUUACAACCUCGUGCAUAGGUUUUAAAAAAUCCAUUCAAAGUGAAAGAAAAACCAACAGAUUUAAUGGUACAGAGUAUGAAAAGCCCAGUGAUGUGUUUUAAUAUUUUACAUAACUACUAACCUUUAAGAAACUACCACUUGUCAAGUCUGGGUGUAUAAUCAGAGAAUAAGAUCCACAAUUAUCUGAAAAUGUUAUUAUCAUACUCCUCUCUUGACUAUAUUAAGAACAAAACUUUUGCAUGGAAAAAGAAAACCACCAUGAGAAAAUCAAAAGAUAAACUGUAGGGGGAAGGCAAAAUCUGGCCAAAAUGCCCCUAAUCCAGCCAACUACCUCUAACCACCCCUCCUGCAACAUCUGCUUCUGUACAACUCACUCCCGCAUCUAUUAGUUUGCCAGUUCUCACUCCGGUCCGCCAAGCACGGACCCGGAAGAACUAGCCCAUAAAAGCCUUGUGAAACCCCUCUUCGGGGCUCAGACUCUGGAGAACGAUCUCCCCUGAGCCGCCAGAGCAAUAAACCUGAGUUCUCCAACUCUCAGCGCUCGCUUGGUUUCUCGCCGGGUAAAAGAGCUGAUACACUGUGGCCACAGAGCCGCUGGAGCUGGCACACUGGCCAUAUAGGGCUGCCACCAGAGCUGAUACACUCCGGCCUUGGGCUGCUGACAGCCACCGCAACAAAAUGACAAAUUGGAGGGAAACACUGGCAAAAUUCAAACCCAGGUAAAAGUUAUUGUCCUUUUCUUAAUCUGUUUAAGUCACCAUAACAAAAUACCAAAGUCUGGCUGGUGUAAAUAACAGAAUUUUCUCACAGUUCUGAAGGCUGGAAAAGUCCAAGAUCAAAGUUCUGAUACAGUUCAAUUUCUGGUAAAAGUCUCUUCCAGAGCACACAGCUGUUUCUCUUCACAUGACCUUUCUUCUGUGUGUGUGGGGGGGGUGGGGGUGGGGAGGAGAUCUUUCAUUUCCUGGUGUCUCUACUUAGAAGGACACUAAUCCUAAUGGAUUAGGGCCCCACCCUUACGACCUCAUUUAAUUUUAAUCACAUCCUAAAGGCCCUCUCUCCAAAUGCAGCCACAUUGGAAUUCCAGCUUCAAUAUGAAUUUCGGAGGGACACAAUUCAGUCCAUAGCAGUUGCAUAAAUAUAUCUUCUGAAAACUGGGGAGGGAGUGGUAUUUAAAUCCCAUUGAAAAAAAUGCUCAAAUGAUACAAUUAACAAAAAGAUAUAAAAAUGGUGCUUAAAAUAUGAAAAGAUAUUCAACCUCACUUAUAAGAAAAGUGUAAAUAAAACUACACCUAGGUAUCAUUUCUUACUUAUCAGUCUGGAAAAAAUUCAAAACCCUGAAACUACACUUUGUUGGCACAGCUGAAGGAAACAGGCUCUCAUACACUGCUGGUAGGAAUGAAAACUAUUACUGACCUAUGAAGGGGAAUUUCACAAUAUUUGAUAAAACUGUAUCUGAAUUUACACUUAACCAAAGAAUUCUGCUUUUAGAAUUUACCCUGAAAAUGCACCCCAAUAAUAUGAAAAUACAUAUCCACAAGAUUAUUUAUUGCUUCAUUAUUUGUAAUAACAAAAUAUUGAAAAUACUUAAAUAUCCAAGCAUAGGAGAUUGGUUGAAUAAAGUCGGACACAUACACAUAGUAUACACAAUAUACUGUAAAAAAAAAAAAAAGGAUGAAAAUCUCUAUGAACUGAUUAUGGAGUGAUUUCCAGGAGAUGUUGUUAAAUGAAAAAAGCAAAGUGCAAGUGAUCAUAUAUAGCAUGUUACAUUUUGUAUAAGAAAGAAGGGAGGAGUUCCCGUCAUGGUUCAGUGCAAAGGAAUCGGACUAGGAACCAUGAGGUUGCAGGUUCCAUCCCUGGCCUUGCUCAGCGGGUUAAGGAUCUGGCGUUGCCAUGCGCUGUGGUGUAGGUCGCAGACGUGGUUCGGAUCCUGCGUUGCUGUGGCUGUGGCGUAGGCCAGCAGCUAUAGCUCCGAUUGGACCCCUAGCCUGAGAACCUCCAUAUGCCAUGGGCGCGGCCCUAGAAAGCAAAAAAAAAAAAAAGAAAAGAAAAAAAAAAAGAAAAAGAAAGAAAGAGGAGAAAGAAAGGGAAAAUGAGAAAACACACAUCUAUCUCUACAAACAGAAACACAGAGAAACACAGGAAGGAUAAAGCAGAAAACAGCGAAUGCAGGGUCACAUAUAAGAGCUGAGGGGCAGAAAGCAAGGAAGACGGUAACAUUUCUCUGAGUCUAUUUGUUCUACAAUAUUCAGAAACUAAAACUGCAUCUAUAAGAAUGAUCAAGGAGAACAUUCCUAAAAGUGAAAUCAAACUGAAACCAAUGAACCCAACUGUAUUUCAAAUGAUAACCAUAAUCCUACUGAAUGGGGGGACGGCGGCAGUUACUGUCUGUGGUAAGAAAGGAAGUCAGAGAACCAACUUUUAUUGAGGUUUUCGUGAUUUUUUUUUUUUUUUUUUUUUUUGCAGUGCUAGGAGAAAAAUCAAAAAAAAUUUUUUUUCUCUUUUCUGUCUUUCUUUUAGGGCUGCACCUGCAACAUAUGGAGGUUCCCAGGCUAGGGGUCCAAUUGAAGCUGUUGCCUCCAGCCUAUGCCACAGCAAUGCCAGAUUCAAGCCAAUCUGCGACCUACACCACAACGCUGGAUCCCUAACCCACUAAGCGAGGCCAGGGAUCAAACCUGAAACCUCAUGGUUCCUAGUGGGUUUCAUUUUUGUUGCAUCACAACGGGAACUCCGAAAAAUCAAUUCUAAAACAAUUUUGGAUCUAUUAUAAGGUUUUAGUAAAAGAGUAAAUGUGUUGAUGGAGUUCCCGUUGUGGGUUAGUGGUUAACAAACCCAACUAGUAUCCAUGAGGAUGCAGGUUCGAUCCCUGGCCUUGCUCAAUGGGUAAGGAUCAACUGUUGCCAUGAGCUGUGGUGUACAUCACAGAUGUGGCUCGGAUCCCAUAUUGCUGUGGCUUGUGGCUGUGGCAGAGGCCAACAACUGCAGCUCCAAUUUGACCCAUGGCCUGGGAACCUGGGAACCUCUAUGUGCCACAGGCACAGCCC